rnacentral:rRNA from 1 species
UGGGUCAAUGGGCGCAAGCCUGAACCAGCCAUGCCGCGUGCAGGAUGACGGUCCUAUGGAUUGUAAACUGCUUUUAUACAGGAAGAAACACCGCUACGUGUAGCGGCUUGACGGUACUGUAAGAAUAAGGAUCGGCUAACUCCGUGCCAGCAGCCGCGGUAAUACGGAGGAUCCAAGCGUUAUCCGGAAUCAUUGGGUUUAAAGGGUCCGUAGGCGGCCUUAUAAGUCAGUGGUGAAAGCCCAUCGCUCAACGGUGGAACGGCCAUUGAUACUGCUAGACUUGAAUUAUUAGGAAGUAACUAGAAUAUGUAUGUAGCGGUGAAAUGCUUAGAGAUUACAUGGAAUACCAAUUGCGAAGGCAGGUUACUACUAAUGGAUUGACGCUGAUGGACGAAAGCGUGGGUAGCGAACAGGAUUAGAUACCCUGGUAGUCCACGCCGUAAACGAUGGAUACUAGCUGUUGGGAGCAAUCUCAGUGGCUAAGCGAAAGUGCAUAAGUAUCCCACCUGGGGAGCUA